rnacentral:lncRNA from 1 species
CCAGAGCCCUAGAGAGCAGGGUGCUCCUUCAGACCCCAGGCCUUGUCUCUAGCCCUUCCUAAGUCAUCUCACUUCUCCCUACUUCUCACCUUCUGCCUUGGGUCCAACCUACUCCUAGGCUAUGAAGCCAUCCACCAGCCUUACCUAGGCACAGGCCAAUGCACUGCUGCCUGGGACAACAGGUCACUGCAGAACUGGCAUCACCCAAGAAUCCGAAGGACUCGGCUGAAUAAAGACCAUGAUCCGAAGUUAAAAGGAGUUUCAGAUGCAAAGGGACGGUGAAUCAGUGAGAAAACCAUUGAAACCUGGGAGGUCAGAGCAUCCUGCCCCACCAGGCAUCAGCAGCAGAGAAGAAAGUAUCACAGUACAGAUGAAAUAGUCCCUCAAUGACCAACAGCCGACCUUAAGUUCACCACCAGAUGCUUCAUGACAAACUCACAAAGGCAAUAGCCACAAAGGGCCAACAACUUUCCCUGGGCAUCUAUCCAAGCCUGUCUUCAUGGUCCCUUCCAACAGCUGGACGUAUUGGCUGCCAGAUGUCCCUGAAACCGCAGGCUGCCUUACCUAUGUCAGGUAAUUUGGCUUCCCUGAUUGACCCAUCACUGAGAUCAUCACUAGCAGAAGGGAUACUGUUCCAGAACUAGCAGCCUCCAUUUCCUCCUCCUUGGGAUGUGUGUUGUGAGAAGCUCAUGUCACAUAAAAGGCAACAUGUGGGCACCUAAGCAGAUAAUCCCCAACUGAACACCCACUCAACAACUAGUGCCAACUGCCAUCCAUGAGCAUGCACCAUCUUGGAUGUUCCAGCCCAGUCAAGCCCCAGAUGACUGCAGCUCCAGCCAACAACACACGGAACAGAAGAACCACCCAGCUGAGCCCAGCCAAUCCCUGAGCCCAGGGAAUUAUGAUGAUGAAACUAUACCCUAAAGAGUUAAUGAAACCAAUGACAGAAAUUACUGAGUUUGCAGGAUAACAGAUAAGAAAAAAAAACAACUUGCUGAGAUGCUGAAAUUCCCUCCUCUUCUGAGUAUUUUUUUUUUUUUAACUCACAAGUUUUUUAAAAAGUUGGCAGUGGGCUAAAAUUAAUUGGAACCAGGAUGACCAACUGGAGAUUGUGCACAAGUUUGCUGACAUCACAGCCCAAAUUUCCACCACAUAUUUCAUACUAACUUCUCCCAAAUUUGCAUAUGCAACCUAUGAAGUAACAUAAAGAAAUAAGUACACACACCCAAGGACUUUCCAGACUUCCCCUUUCCCUCCACCAACCACCUGCUAAUCCCAGUAUCUACCCCCUAAGCCUUUCCUAAU